rnacentral:rRNA from 1 species
GACGAACGCUGGCGGCGUGCCUAAUACAUGCAAGUAGAACGCCGUUUCGAACGGGUGAGUAACGCGUAGGUAAAUUCCUCAUAGCGGGGGAUAACCAUUGGAAACGAUAGCUUAUUACGCCUACUGUGAGCUGGACCUGCGUUGUUUUAGCUAGUUGGGGAGGGAAAGGCUCACCAAGGCGCCGAUCCAUAGCCGGCCUUGGAGGGGGAUCCGCCAAACUGGGACUGAGACACGGCCCAGAAUCCUACGGGAGGCAGCAGGAGGGAAUCUUCGGCAAUGGACGGAAGGCUGACCGAACAACGCCGGGGGAGUUAAGAAGGUUUUCGGAUCUUAAAGCUCUGUUGUUAGAGAAGCGGUAACUAACCAGAAAGGGACGGCUAACUACGUGCCAGCAGCCGCGGUAAUAC